rnacentral:lncRNA from 1 species
GAUCAUAAUGGAAAAAUCCCAUAAUAAUGAUAAUAAUUUCUUCAAUGUAUUUGCUUUUUCGAUCUAACAAAUUAGAGAGAAAAUAUCAAAAGUAUUGUCAAAAGUCAAUGUGUGGACCUCCAGAAAACCCUAAAACAAAGCAUUAAAUAGUUCACCCAAAUUAUUGUAACAAAAUAAUAGAAUUCAGAAAUCCCUCAAAAUAGGUGAAGACAUUUUUAAUAGCCUAUCAGGAGGCUGACGACUUAUCACAAAUGUCGUCAACUCCUUCUUCAGUUUUGGCUCUUCCUGUUUAACGUUGACGACAAACUUGACAACUUAUCAGCUCCGUGAUGGCCUAUCACAAAAUCUCGUCAAAGUUCUGCUUUAGUUCUCCUUGGCUGCCUCAGGCUGACGACAUUCUUGAUAGAUUAUCAUACCCUUGAUGACUUAUCAGAAAAUGUCAUCACAUCUUUCAACUUAGGCCAAUUCUCUAUUUACUGCUGACGACAAACUUGAUAACUUAUCAUCGGGCUGACGACUUCUCAUAUAUUUUGUCAGCCACGCUUUUCUUCAGAUAUGUUUAGAUUUCAAAUUCUUUGCUUCGAUUCUUGUUGGUUCUCUAUCAUAUCAGCUUAAAUUGCAAAAUAAAACAUAAACCAAUAAAAAAAUGACAAAAGUUGCUUAAUACUUUGCAAUUAUUGUUAGUUAAAAGCCUUAAAUAUGUUAGCAUUAGUUCACACAUCAACACCCUUAUCUUAAAACAAUUGCUUGUCCUUAAGAAAAUCAGCACAAAUAAGAGAAUACAAAGCACAUUCGACAGUCAAUUAUCCAUAUCAUCUCAAAACACUUUCAUCACCUCCAAGGUCAGUCAAUUUAAGAAUAAUGAAGAACACUAAUGCAACACAUAGAAAUCAAUUAUAGCAUUAAUUCAGCAAUAUUAACCUUGCAUAUACCAGUAUUACACUCUUUAAACAAGUUAGUUACUAGCAACAUAUCUGGUAUGCCCUCACAGUAAAGAAAUCCCCAUCAUCUUAUCUUAGUAUUCAUAUAUGUAACCAUGGUGACAAUCAAAACACACACUCUUAGGACGAAGUUUCAACCAAUGUAUGUCAAGUACCUUAGGAUUGCCCUUAUUUUCAUUAGCCAGAUCUUCAGAUAGGUUAGCUAGGAUUAAUAUAGGUCUUCUCUUAGGCUUGUAAUGUAGGUUAGGGGCUGGUAUGAUACUCAAUGGUAUUUAAAGUGACUAACCCUCCUUGACACUACACUAGCUUUUUGGGGUUUCACUCAUUAUCCUUUUUCACUCCUCCCUUUUUUUAUCACACUUAGUUAUGAUGGGUGCGAUCUUUCUCACUAUCACUUAUUCUUUUUCAUCAUUUUUUUUAUUUAUUGCUCUUUUCCUCCACACCCCACUUUCUAUUCUUUUAUUUUAUGAUACCUUUAUUCAGACUCAUUCUGUAUCACGAACCCCUAUGAUAGCCACCCUCAACUUAUGUCAUUUGCCUAAGAAAGGUGCAUAGUAUCCAAUGAGGACCAGGGCCAAAAUAGGUUCAUUGUGAUCUAAAUGGGAAAGUGACUGGUGUCAUAAAUAGAAAUAGAGUAAUUUUGCUUAAAACAGGCAUCAAGGGAUAUUAUACACAUAGGGAAGGUCAUUUAAGCUAAAGUGAGCUAAUAUCAAAAUGGCCUAUGAUCAUUUCCUAACCCCUAUCCUUUAACCUAGGUAGGACUAACUGGGCAAGUUUUAGCUUCAGCAUACAGAGGGAACUAAGUAAUAUUACACACACACUUAGCAUACAGGUAUAUUGCAAUCUACUACUCAUUCAGUUCAUGCAGUUGUUUAGAACCGAUUAUUAUCUUACUAUAACUAAUGCCAUACAAUGAUGCACAGUGGUCACACUUGAAUGCAAAUCACACAGUUAGAAAAGUAGACCACUUGAAGAGGUGUAAAAAAAUCACAAAACAACUCAACUACCUGAAGUACAUGUAUUUCUCCGAGUUGACUAUAAAACCUUACAAAACAAACACAAUACACCUAAAUAUGUCGGUUUUACAAGGAACAAGACAUUGGGGAAAAAAGGCACGACAACAAAAAUCCCAAGAGGACAUUAACACCAACAAGUAUCUCCACCCUCAACUUAAAAUCAUGCAAUGUCCCCAAUGCAUUAAACCAAAAUGAGAGACCUAGAAGCAUACCUAUGGCACCAUGAAUGCAAAGAUCUGAUGUCCAUCACAUAAUAUGAAUACAAACAACAAAAUACCUUCGGUUGCCUCCAAAGAAGUGACUAAUUUAGCGUCACUGCACGAUAAUAUUUAGCUAUCCUUUAUCCCUCCACUUAGACUAUUUGAAUUGUCGGACCAUCUUUUAAUCAUUAUAUCUUUUAGAUCCAUUGGGAAAAUGUGAGGGCAUGAUAAGGAAUGUUCUAUCACGCCUCUUUGAAGACUUGAACCGCUUGCCCAAUUUUGCAUCGAACUUUCAUAAGGGCUCAUUGGGCAAUAGUAAGGAUCUUAAAAAGCCACUAAAUGGACAUCGAUUUUUAAGCUACUUAACCUUUAAGAUUGGGGUUGUAGUACACCCUUUUGGAAAGAUAAACUCUAAAAUGUAAGAAUUUUAUUCCUCAUUUUCAAAAUUCAGCAUUUGCUUGGGUGAUUCGACUUUCGUCACAUCCACCAAGCAUAAUGUUGAAAAGGGGUUUGAAUGAGGACUAACUAUCAAUUCUGUAGUAGCAUCCAUAAUAGCAUAUUUACCUAGAAAUGGACUAGAGUCUUCACAAGAAUUUUUCUUGAUUUCUUCUUUCGACUCUAGAACCAUUUCCUCAUCUUUGGCAUCUUCGUUCAUGAAUGAUUCGAUUGGUUGGGAAAUCACCAAGGGUUGCUCAACAUCAAGCUCCACAUCACUAUAGGAUUCUUGAUCCUCAUCGUCACACUCUUCGAUUAGUCUAAAUGAUUCCACAGACAAGAUAUCAUCUAAGCAUAACGUACAGGAGUGCUUUAGAUAAUUAACCUCGAUAUCCAUCCCCAUAUCCUUUCUCUUUCCUAUUUAAAUGUUGUAAUGUAUUGACGUAUAUCACUUUGAUAUCAUAAUUUGUGUCUGUAUGAUCCGUAUUCAUUUGAAGCAUAGCUCUGAUGCCACUCUCUUCGGUGCUUUGUUCUUCCUUUUCUUGACCAAAAGACCUAUCAAAAUUAUAAGAAGAACUAAAAUUUGGGCUAUCAAAAUAGGGGGAGGGGUUAUUUAGGCAAACACUCCAAUGUCUAUAUUGACCACCAUAUAUAAAACAAUCAUACUCCCGAUUGGAUGGAGAUGGUGUACACAUCUCUCAUCGGGGAGUAUAUCUACAGUCCUUCCAAAAGUGAGGUCCAUCACAAUAUGGACAUGGAUCAUCAAGAUAAGAUUUCCAACCACAAAGAUCAUAUUCAUUCCUCGGUUCCAUUGUAGUAAGCAAACUAAAAUAAAAAUCUACCUAACACAAGUAAUAAAAGAAAACUAAAAACAAAUAUUUACAAUUUUGAAUUCAAGUAAGUAGGCAAAAAUUCCAAACCUACUCAAUACGCCAAAUUGUUCCACGGCAAUGGCGCCAUUUUUUUAUAACUCUCAACUUACACGUCAAUUUAGAGCAAAGCGGUCAUCAUCAAUAUAUUUACCUAACUUUGGAGUCGGUUCGAAUCCACAGGGAACAAUGUGAGUGGCGAUUUAACUAGUUUGAAACUAAAGCUACAAGUUAAAUUCAAACAACUAGCAUAAAAAGACAAAAUGGGGGUUUUCAAAGAUCAAACUAGUAAUUAUUGGUCACUUCAGUUUCUGUGUUUGUAUUCAAGAGUUUAUUGAAAAACUAGAAUUAUGAUCACUAGGGAUUUUGGUACUUUACAGAUGCUACUAACGGCUUAUGAUUCCAAUAGUAGGUAGGAUAGCAAGUUAUGUUUAUCGAAGUUAUGCUUAAAUUUCUCUCGACGAACUUAAGAAUUGAAUUACCUAAUCCUCUCGGACUUAGGGAAUUUAUUCUCACAGCCCAGAUUUUACCUCUGUAAACCAACCUUGGUACGACACUGAUUAUUAAAUAAAGUAUUUCCAAGUCCCUGUUGACAAUUCACUUCCUAUUAUAUUUGAUUUCUUUCUCUAGAAAAUCAAUGUAGGUUUUAGCUAUUGUUUGCAACCAACAAAAAUUAAUUAAAACCUCAAAAUUAUCACGAAGUCCUACCACCUUUCGAAUCUUGAUCACUCAGCACCUUAUAAGGACCUAACCCUAGAUCUCAUGAUUCCGGUUUAAGGAAUUUAGCCACUCAUAAUGCUAAAAUCGAAACAAGAAGUUGUAUUCAUGCUUUGAAAGUUAAACUUACCUCAAGAAUAAUAAUAACUAGUAAAUCGUAGAUUAGAUCACAAAAGAAAAAUCCUAGAAUAAUGAUAAUAAUCUCUUCAAAGUAUUUUCUUUUUUGAGCCAAGACAUUAGACAUAAAAUAUCAAAAGUAUUGUCAAAACUCAAUUGCCAACCUCCAGAAAACCCUAAAAUAAAGAUUUAAAUAGUUCACCCUAAUUAUGAAACAAAAUAAUAGAAUUUAGAAAUCCCUCAGAUUAGGUGACUAUAUUUGUGAUAGCCUAUCAGGAGGCUGACGACUUAUCACAGAUGUCAUUAACUCCUUCAAUUUUGGCUCUUCCUGUGUAAGGUGGAUGACAAACUUAACAACUUAUCAGCUCUGUAAUGGCCUAUCACAAAAUGUCGUCAAAGCUCUGGUUAUGUUCUCUUGUUCUACCUCAGGCGAUGACAUUCUUGACAGCUUAUCAGACCCUUGAUGACUUAUCCCAAAAUGUCAUCACAUCUUUCAACUUAGCCCAAUUCUGUAUUUACUGCUGACGACAAAAUUUAUAAGUUAUCACUGGGCUGACGACUUAUCACGAAUAUUGUCAGCCACCCUUUUUUUCAUAUUUCAACUUGUUUGCUUCUAUUCUUGCUAGUUCUCUAUCAUAUCAGCUUACACUACAAAAUCAAACAUAAACGAAUAAAAAAAUGACAAAAUUUACUUAAGACUUCACAAUUAUUCUUAGUUAAAAGCCUCAAAUAAGUUAGCAUUAGCUCCCAUAUCAAAAGCUUAGCCAUAGGUAUAUCAGACCAUUUUAGAUUCUUCAUAAAGUUAUGGAUGUGUCACAUGUGCUUCAUAGGGAAUUAGUUUAGUUGGAUGAGAGAUUGACCUUUGUAGAUGAUUCAAUGUCUAUUUUACAACAUAUGUUAGGCAGUUACUUCUAGAGACAUUCUUAUGGAUAAGGUUUAGUAGAGACACUAUCCUAUUAUGGAGGCUACUUGGGCGUUGAAGUCUAACAUGUGUGGUAUUUGCCCUUAGAUCUUUAUAGAUUAAACUAUUUAAUUACCUUUUAGUUUGACGACAAACUAGAAUCUUAAAGGUGGAUAUUGUAAUGACUUAAUUUGUGAAAUUUUUCUUUUAAUAUGAUUUGACCAGUUUGCCCUUCUCUAUAGUUGCUACAUGAUGAUUUUGGGGUGUGUGGAUGGUUAGCAUAAUUCCUGAUGUGAUCGAGAAUAUUUGGGAGAGUGUUUGGGUUUUAGUAGUUUUAGAAUCCAUAUAGUUGACUUUGGACAACACAUGCUGAUCUAUGUUUCUAAUGGCGAUCUAGAUAAUUCCAUUCGGUCUUGAAUGUCAAAUUUGGGGUAGCAGUGAGAUUGGUUUGGAUAAAGAACCUUUAUUUUGAAUUUUGUCCCUUCAUUUAAAAAUUGUAUAAAAAGGGUCCUAGUUUAAUUUAUUGAAAACAAACUUUUUCCAAAAAUUUGACAUCGCCUUUGAGUCCAGAAUAUCAAAAACAAGCUAAAAGCAUGAAUGAUUUUUUUUGUAGGGUCUCAAAUAAAUCUCAGGAUUUAUUCAAAGGUUUUGAAGGUAUUGAAACUCAAUUAGUUUAAUGAUAUCUAGUCCAUGCCAGAUCCUUCUUCGUGAAUGUGGGACCCAAGUCGUGAAUGCAAAAAACAAUUCCCUUCAUCACAAAUGCAAUAGUGCUUUUACGAACACAAAGGUUCGAUUUAUUGGCCUUUAUGAAUGUAAAGCCCUAGCCACAAACACGAAGGCCAAUUUUAUGGCAUGUCAAAGUUUAGCCUCACAAAUACAUAUGUUUGACUGUGUUCGCAAUGUUUCCUCACAUAAAAUGGUAUAAAUGCUUCUUUUUAUGAAUUAUCACCAUUUUUGGAAUGUGAGCUUUGGGUUUUGGUGUUUUUAAGUUUUUAAUCACUAUUUGAGCUUAGAACAAUUAUAAUACCUUAUUAUUAUUAUUACUUUACAUUGAAUUAUAACAUUAAAACUCUCUUUAAUCUUGAUUUUAACAUAAAAUUUUGAGGAUUUUUCCAUAAGAAAUUAAAAAUAGAAAGUUGGACCUUGUUUUAAUCCCAUUUUCAACUAUAGAUUCCUUUCACCUAGGGAAAUGUAAUUCUAAAAAAAAUUGAUUUUACCACUUUCUUAUUCAAACUAGAUUUUUGAGUCGGUCUUGGACCAGACUCAAAUAUUGGCAAAAUAGGAAUCAUUAUCAUUAUUAUAAUCUGUAGAUUCUAUAUUUGAAUAUUGUAGUUGAUUUUAAGGUCGAUCUAAAGGGGAAGGCUCCGUGUUGAAGGACUUUAGGAUUGAAUUUCACUGUUUCAAGGAAGGUUAUGGCUUAACUUUUUUCUAACUGUACGGGGUAGUUAAUAAAUAAGUAAAGCAUGCUAUGGGUUGGGGAAAUAACUAUGGGAUUUGAUUAUCAAGUUAUUAUAAGUGUAUGAUGCUUGUGAAGGGGCUUAUUUUCUGUUGUUGCUAUAUUAUGAUAUUAUAUAUUAUGCGUAGCCCAUGCAUGGGCUUUAUUUGACAUCAUUGGCUUUAUUUGUGCAUUUAGUUACCUUGUUUCUUACUAUUAUGCCUAUGUGGGGGAUUGAAUAGAUAUUUUAGGCCUUAUUAGCAUGAUUUACUUUAUCAUGAUAGAAAUUCCUAAGUUAUGUGUUGAGAUGAUAUUAAUGAUACGUUAUAUUCUUGUUUACUCCAAUGGUGCCCAACUAGAAUAGAUAUCAAGAUUAUUGACAUAUUGAGUAGAUUUCUGCACUUAUUUCUAUACGUAUUGAAUGGAUUGGAUAUCUUAAUACUUAUUUUAUUAUGAGAAUUUUAUCAUCAUUGUAUACAUAUACACUCUUGAGAUAUCGAUACCAUUGAGGAACAUUGAUUUUUUAAAGAAAAUGAGAUAUUUUUAAAAUGCCACGAUCGAGGGUUAUGCUGGUUGAUAAGUGGUGAAUUUACCAUUUUUUGUGCACUCAAUAUUUGUGCACAUUACAAUAAUUUGAAUGUAUAAAUGAGACAACAUUGUGCUUAAAUGACCUUUUUUCCUCAUCUUGCAGGUUUACAGAUAAUGAGAUAGAAGGAUAUGGAGUUGAGUUGAAAAGGAACACAUAGGAGAAGAAAACUGCAUUGUUGAAGAACCAUGUGCAGAACAUGGCUCGAUAACCGCAAUCGUGGUCUGAGGGCCGCAACCACGGGCGAUCAAGAUGGUCAAAAAUUGUGAUUGCAAGUAUAAACUUGUGGUCGCGAUAGCCGCAAUUGCGACAAUGCGGUAUUAGGAUUAACGGUAGUUUUAAAAUUUUUAGUAGGUUACCUCAAAUUCCUUAAAAUCCUAAAACCCUUUCCAAUUUUGGGGAAUUCUAGAGACUAGCAAUAUUUUGAAUUUGAAGUUGAAACCCUAAAUUGGGCAAGACUUGUAAUUUGAUUUAGAGACUUUGAAUUUAGUAAUUUCUUGAGGAAUGGAUGCUUUGUACAACCCUUAUGAUAUAUUUUUCUCUCCUUUCAUCAUGAGUAGGUAAAUUUUACUGUCUUGGGAUUAUGUUUAACUAAGGUGCAAUUAGUUGUGGGUUGUGAUGUAUUUGUUUAUCUGCUAGUUAGUUGAUAACGGGUUCUACUAUUAGUUGAUUAAAUUGGUUGGGAUUUAUAGGGAGAACCCCAAAUACUAAAAGUGGUUUGGUGGGUGAAAACCCCAAACACUUAACAGCUGAAACCAUCCUUGAAAGUGGGGUUUGGGUGAACUUUUGGAACCUACCUCAUCCUUGAAAGAGAGAUCUAGAAACCAAGGCAAUAGUAGAAAUAGUAAUACCAAAUAUAGGUAAUAGGUGAAUAUAAUUAACACACUUGGUAGGUAUCUAAAAGGUUCAGUAAGUGAAAUUCUUGAGGUUUUGUUGAAAAACUAGCCUCAAGGAUAUUAGAUCUAGCCUACAAUAUUAUUAAAAAACUAGCAUGUGCAUCAAUUCUUCAUAUACCCACAACUAAUUUUCCCUUAGAUAGACAUAAUCCCAAGAUUCUCCCUAAACCGAAGUUAAAUUACAAUUGUAACAUAGUUCGUGGAAUUGAGUUACUAGUGACAAACAUUCUCCCAAAACCAUAACCCCCUCCCCAUUUUUAAUUCAUGCUUUUUACUUUAUUUUCCCUUUGAUUGUUUUUUAGUAAGUGUCAAGACCCAUAAGACUAGAAUUCUAAUAUAAAUCAUUGUGAAUUCGACCUCAAAGAAUGUUGAUAUAUUGAAAACAACCAUCCUCUACCACUUUACUUGGUAUAGGUGAGCAUUAUCAAAAUGGCAUCGUUGUCGGGGAGUGAAAUUUAGUUUUCACUUGUUCAGUACUGAUUCUUGCUUGAUUCAUACCCGUAGUGGUGUAUAUUUAUUUUAGUUAUUGUUUUUAUUUCCUUCUACGUGACCUUCGUAGCAUAAACAAAAUCAUGAGUGACAAUGCUAGUCAAGUCGGGUCUUAUGAUGGCCCUCUUGAUGACGAGGACUAUCUCAAUGACAUUGGUUGAUCAAGUGCUAUCCGUAUCCGACUUACUCAUGGGAACGGUGUCUUUCAUGUGACAAAUCAUGUUACAUAUACUACAAAUGAAAGGAUUUUUUGGAGGACAAUCCUAUGAGGUCCCCAACUUACAUUUGAAGAACUUCAAUAAAGUGUGUGAACCCUUUGAUAUUGCACACAUAGCCCAAGAGUCUAUCUAGCUUCUUCUUUUCUCAUUUUCUCUAAAGGGCAAGGUGGUAUUAUGGCUUCAAUCUCUUCCAUCUGGGUCAAUUACUUUAUGGGAUAAACACAUCGUGGUCUUCCUUGAUUGAUAUUUCCCUCCAUCCCAUGCUCCAAUUAUGUGAUGAGACUAUGAACUUUAGGAAAUUAAAUAGAGAAGUUUUUAACAGAGUGUGGGAGAGGUUUAGCAGAAAACUCAUGUAAUGUCCCAACCAUGAGGUCCCAGAGAAGUUGCUUCUCCAAAUCUUUGUCGGGCUCCUGAUCCACUAAACAAAACUCUGGUAAAUAAUACGGCUGUUGGCUCUCUUGUGAAGUUAAAUUAUUAUGUGUUUCAAAUUUUCUUGAGGAAGUUACCAAGUAAAAUCAAGGAUGGCAUCCUUGGGAUGCCGAAGUGCAAAAAAUGCCUCCUACUACCUCCGUGGUUAACAAGGAACAAAGAAAGAAGGAUGAGAAAAGAGAGGAGAAUCUGACAAAAAUAAUGACUCAAUUGGAACUUUGGACAAAACAUGUGAUGGGUUCGCCCACAAAUGCGGUAAAUGUCAUAGUAUCCAAGUCCUAUAAUGAAGAAGAGGCCAAGAAUAUUGAUGAGGAGAUUCGGUAUUUGGCAAAUAAUUCAGAGGGUUCCAGCUCUACCUAUCACAGACAACGUGGGAAUCAAGGUUGGACAGAUUAUCAAUGUGGCCGUUGUUAGACAGAUAAAGAUCAUGAUUAUGACUGAUAUAUGCCACUCAUAAAUGAGUAAAGAAAAAAGAUGGUAGCACUAUCGACCCUAACGAAUUGUAAACUAAAGAUAUCUUGGCAGGAAUUUUGAUGAGAGUGGAAGGAACGGAAAAAAUAGUUUGUGAAAUAAAAGACAAUUUUUUGCAACUCCACCAAACCUUGGUGUCCCACUCUGCCCCCAUUAAAAAAUUAGAGACCCUUAAUCGGGCAAAUUUCCACCCAAAUAAACACUAGGCCAAAGGGUGGUCUUCCUAGUGACACUAUUGUAAACUAGCCUCAAGGAUCCUAGACCUAGCCUACCAUAUUAUUAAACAACUAGCAUAACCAUCAAAUCUUCUUAUACCCACACCUAAUUUUCCCUUAGGUAGACAUAAUCCUAGUAUUCUCUCUAUACUAAAGUUAAAUUACAAUUGUUGUGUAGUUUGUGGAAUUGAGUUACUAGUGAAAAACACUAUCUAUCCUUUGAAACUUUAAGAAGAGGGCACACCAGGCAAAAAAAAUAAGAGAAAGAUCGAUUUGGGGAUAUUGAAUUAUGCGGAGCCUGAGUCUUGUAGACCAUCCACCACCGGGCCUCUUGACUAUAGUGGUGUACAUAUUGCAGCCAUCAAAGAGCUCGGGUCAGAUUUUCCCCAGUAGUUUAGAGAGUCCUCCACCACCAGCCAUUUAUAUGUGUUCCAAUAUAAUUAUGAGUAGUAUUUUGGAUAACCAAAUUAAAUAGGGAGCUACAAUUUCUAGGAUUAAGAGAGGCUACUCAUCCCUGGCAUAGUCACUUUAUGAUCUCUAAGUUGCACAUAUGAAGAUGUUAAAAAGAGAGAAUAAGAGAAAUAAGUUCAUUAGUGUAAUGUGGAAGGGGAUGAACGUCCUAUGGAAGCAUCAAAAACCCCAUGAUAGACUCCCCUCCUCUUAAGUGGAGAGUGAUGAUAAAGCUCCAAACGAAUGGAAUGGUCCUGAGGAUGCUGAUGAUGAUGUAGAUUUUACAUGCGAGAGCAGUUCUUGCUGUGGCUAGGGUGCACUUUUAUCCGUUCUUAUGCUUUAUUGUUUAUUUAGUGAGGACACUGCUGUCUUUUUAGUUGGGGGUGCUUGCCUCCGUAUUCAUUUGAUUUGGGCCAGUAUUAUUGAUAUUUCUAGAUGUUUUUCAAUUCUUUUGGAUGAUUUUUGUUUUUGUUAGGGUUAUAAUAUUCGGGCACUCUAAUGGUGCCCACAUUUGCAUAGACUAGUUAUUUUGUUCUAGGAUUUCUAAUUUAUCUUUAUUUUACUGAAGGCAAUAUGGAUGAGAUUUUCCCUAUGAAAGAUUAUGUGAUGACAUUCUUAAUAAAACAGCAUCGUGAUUGGGUUUUGAGCUAUAGAUACAGGGGAAUUCUGAGUACCCAUGGCAUCAAGGUCGUAAAUGCAAGGGAAAUUUGAGUACCUAUGGCAUUUUGAAUUUGGGAUCGCACUUAUACAUAUGGAGAAGUCCGAGUAUCCAUAUAGUGUGCUCGUAUGAAAGCCACAAUAUGAGAUGAAGGCUUGGGUUAGUUCCAUUGUUAUCAAAUUGUGUGUUGUGAAAAUUCAAAGCAAACACCCAUCCGUCAAAAACUUUUUACAAAUCAAAUGCAUGGACGUGAGCGGCAUUGUAACAAGACUUUUACUGUUAUUAUGACUCCAAAUAUUUUUACUUGUAGAAAUUGAUAGAUACUGCAUUUUUGUCUCUAGUCGGAGGGGAAAUUGAGCCUUUUUGAGAAAAUUUGCAUGUCAUGGGUGGUGAGAUCAUUUCUUCAAAUAUCAUGUGUACUUGUACCAUCUAGAACUUUCCCCAUUAGUCUCCCAAGGCUAAUUUUUAUUGUACUUGGUUGAUGAGAUGAUGUUAGGCCAUAUUUGGGACAUUGGAAGUCCACUUUAGCCUAUAAAACCCUACCUUUACAUUGAUGUUAUCACUACUCACCCACUUUGAGCCUUUCGACCUUUCUUUGGAAAACAUAUUGCAAGACAUGAGCCUUUUAAUUUUUAUACGUCUUUUGAACCCUACGCUUCUUGGACUUAAAAUUACAACUUGAUGCUAAAAGCCUAAGUUGGUGAUGUGAUGAUUGGAUGAGGAAACUUUGGGCCACGAAGUUAUAAGUGGGUGCUUAUGGGCUUAAGCAGUGGGAUCAAAUAAAUAAGAAAAAGAAAGGGUCCAACAAAGCAAACAGAAGCACAAAAGUUGCAAGAGAAAUAAUGAAAAGAAAAUAAGUUGACCAAGGAAAUAAAAGUAGGCAUGUAUACAAAGUGAAAACAAAAAGAAGAGUUCAAAGAUCAAAAGUUGGAUAGAAUAAUUUGAUGUAGAUGUUCAAGAAGGGUAUGGCCAUGGUGUUCCUAAAUAAUAUCCUACCCUACCCCAAACCAAUGUUACAAGCUCAACAAGCCCUUCCUGAUUUCCAACCAAGAAUUUUCAUUAUAGCGGCGACGGAAAAUAUAGGAAAGCCCAUGGCAUGGUACUUCUUAGAAACAAGUGUUCUUGAGAGAGAGUGUUUCACACUGAAAUUCCUUAUUACAUAUUGGAUAACUUGGUGUGUAGAGUUUCUUUUCUUGUGAUGAUUAAUGUUAACUAGUUGAGGUAGGUCAUUUUAUCAUCUCCCAAAAAAUAGGGCAAAAGAAGUAUAUUGAAGUUAAGGUCAAAAGGUGAGUCACUUCUAGAGUAUGAGUUAUUGAUUUACAGUUGCCCUAUGUAAUCUUUUGAAUCCUUGAAAAUCGCAUUUUAUGUUGAGGGUGUCGUGAAAAUAGUUUUUUCCAUGUUUGAAGAGCUAUUUGUGGUACUACUCAAGUUGAAGUCAUUAUGAUCAUUGGGUCAUCUAGUUUAGACAAAAAUGUUCAUUGUCUCAUGGUAAAAGGUUGUGAUGCUUGGGGGAAAGCAAAGCUUUAAGUUGGGGGUAUUUUUUAGUGGUGAAUUUACCACUCAUUUGCAAUUAAAAUUUGUUCACAUUACCUUUUGAAUGUAUAAAUGAGACAACAUUAUGAUUAAAUGCACUAAUUUCCACAUUUAGCAGGUUUACGUUGAUGAGAUAGAAGGAUGUGGAGUAGAGCAAAAAAUGAACUAAGAGGAGAAGAUAGGUGCACAACUGAAGGCCCAAAUGUAGAAUGAGGCUCAGUUACCGUGAUCUUAGUGUUAGAAACCGUGAUUCUAUGGAUAUACCUCCAAUUGUGGUAGCUGCGAUCAUGGUAAAUCUGUUGCGAUCGAGGCAACAUACGAUAAGGCCUAGGGGCAAUUUUUAAAUUUUCAGCAGCCGACCCCAAAUUCCAUAAAUGCCUAAAACCUUUUCCCUUUUUGUCAAUUGAAAUAACUAGCAAUAUUUUGAAUUUGAAAUUGAAACCUAAAUUAGGGAAAUUGUAAUUUUAUUUGGAGACUUUGAAUUUGGGGAUUUAUUGAAGAAUGGCUGUUUUUCACAACCCUUAUGGUAUAUUUUUCUUUCCUUUCAUUUUGAUUAGCUAAAUGUUAUUUUCGUGUGAUUAUGCUGAACUAAUAUGAAAUUAGUUAUUGGUUGUGAUAUAUUUUUGUGUAUGCUAGUUAGUUGAUGACGGGUUCUACUAUUGCUUGAUUAAAUUGGCUUGGAUUUGUGAGUGAAAACCCCAAAUACUCAGAGUGUGUUUAUGGGUGAAAACCCCAAACUCUUAAAACCUUAAAGCAUCCUUGAAAGUGGGGUUCGGGUGAACUUUUGGAACCCACUUAAUCAUUCAAUUAGAGAUGUGGAAACCGAAGCAAUAGUAGACAAUUAUUGGGUAUAGUUUGCAAAAUUUUCAUUAUCUUUGAUAUAAGAGUGAUUAUGAAGUUGACUAUAUCUUAGGUAUUUACCUAGAAAUAGGAAUACCCAACAGAGGUUAUAGGUGAUUAUAAUUAACACACUUGUUAGGUGUUUGAAAGAUUCAAUUAGUGAAAUUCUUGAGGUUUUGUUAACAAACUAGCCUCAAGGAUCCUAGACCUACUUAUGAGGAGCUGGAGUCUUCUAGGCCAUCCACCACUUGGCCUCUUGACAAUAAUGGUUUAGAUAUUGCAGCCAUCAGAGAGGUCAUGUCAGAUUUUCCCCAGCAGUUAGGAGAGUCCUUUACCACAAGCUAUUCAUAUGUGUUCCAAUCUAAUUAUGAGGAGUGUUUAGAUAACCAAAAUAAAUUGGGAGCUACCAUUGCUAGGCUUAAGAGAGCUUAUUCAUAGCUAGCAUAUUCACAUCAUGAUCUAUGAGUUGCACAUAUGAAGAUGUUAAAAAGAGAGAAGAAGAGAAAUAAAUUCAUUAGCGUGAUGUGGAAGGGGGUGAAGGUCCUAUGGAAGAAUCAAAAAACCCGUGUUAGACUCCCCUCCUCUAGAGUGGAGAGUGAUGAUGAGGCUCCAAUAAGUGGAAUGGUUCUGAGGAUGCUGAUGAUAAUGUAGAGUCUACAAGCGAGAGGAGUUCUUGAUGUGGCCAGGGUGCACCCUUAUCCCUUCUUAUGCUUUAUUAUUUAUGCAGUGAGGAAACUGCAAUCUUUUUAGUUGGGGGUGCUUGCCUCCGUAUUCAUUUGAUUUGGGCCAGUAUUAUUGAUAUUUCUAGAUGUUUUUCAAUUCUUUUGGGUGAUUUUUGUUUUUGUUAGGGUUAUAAUAUUCGGGCACUCUAAUGGUGCCCACAUUUGCAUAGACUAGUUAUUUUGUUCUAGGAUUUCUAAUUUAUCUUUAUUUUACUGAAGGCAAUAUGGAUGAGAUUUUCCCUAUGAAAGAUUAUGUGAUGACAUUCUUAAUAAAAAAGCAUCGUGAUUGGGUUUUGAGCCAUAGAUACAGGGGAAUUCUGAGUACCCAUGGCAUCAAGGUCGUAAAUGCAAGGGAAAUUUGAGUACCUAUGGCAUUUUGAAUUUGGGAUCGCACAUAUAUAUAUGGAGAAGUCCGAGUAUCCAUAUAGUGUGCUCGUGUGAAAGCCACAAUAUGAGAUGAAGUCUUGGGUUAGUUCCAUUGUUAUCAAAUUGUGUGUUGUGAAAAUUUAAAGCAAACACCCAUCCGUCAAAAACUUUUCACAAAUCAAAUGCAUGAACGUGAGCGGCAUUGUAACAAGACUUUUACUGUUAUUAUGACUCCAAAUAUUUUUACUUGUGGAAAUUGAUAGAUACUGCAUUUUUGUCUCUAGUCGGAGGGGAAAUUGAGCCUUUUUGAGAAAAUUUGCAUGUCAUGGGUGGUGAGAUCAUUUGUUCAAAUAUCAUGUGUACUUGUACCAUCUAGAACUUUCCCCAUUAGUCUCCCAAGGAAAAUUUUUAUUGUACUUGGUUGAUGAGAUGAUGUUAGGCCAUAUUUGGGACAUUGGAAGUCCACUUUAGCCUAUAAAACCCUACCUUUACAUUGUUGUUAUCACUACUUACCCACUUUGAGCCUUUCGACCUUUCUUUGGAAAACAUAUUGCAAGACGUGAGCCUUUUAAUUUUUAUACCUCUUUUGAACCCUACGCUUCUUCGACUUAAAAUUACAACUUGAGGCUAAAAACCUAAGGUGGGGAUGUGAUCAUUGGAUAAGGUAAAUUUGGGCCACGAAGUUAUAAGUGGUAUGGGCUUAAGCAUUGAGUACAAAAAAAUAAGAAAAGAAGGGGUCCGACAAAGAAAACAGAAGCACAAAGGUUGCAAGAAAAAAAAUGAAAAGAAAAUGGGUAGACCAAGGAAAUAAAAGUAGGCAUGUAUAAAAAGUGAAAACAAAAAGAAGAUUUCAAAGAUCAAAAGUUGGAUAGAAUAAUGUGAUGUAGAUGUUAAAGGAAAGUAUGGCCAUGGUGUUCCUAAAUAAUAUCAAACCCUACCCCAAACCUACAUUACAAGCUCAACAAGCCCUUCCUGGUUUCCAACUAAGAAUUUUCAUUAUAGUGGCGAUGGAAAAUUUGGGAAAGCUUAUGGUAUAGUACUUGUUAGAAACAAGAGUUCUUGAGAGAGAGUGUUUCACACUUAAAUUCCUCGUUGGAUAUUUGAUAAAUUGGUUUGUCGAGUUUCUUUUCUUGUGAUGAGCCAAGUGAACUAGUUGAGGUAGUUGAUUUUUUCAUCUCCCAAAAAAUGGGGCAAAAGGAGUAUAUUGUAGUUAAAGAUAAAAGCUGAGUCACUUCUAGAGUAUUAUUGAUUGAUUCACGGUUGCCCUAUAUAGUCUUUUGCAUCCUUGAAAAUCGCAUUUUAUGUUGUGGAUGUCGUGAAAAUAGUUUUUUCCAUGUUUGAAGAGAUAUUUGUGGUAGUACUCAAGUUGAAGUCAUCGUUAUCAUUGGGUCAUCUAGUUUAGGAAUAAAUGUUCUUUGUCUCAUGGUAAGAGGUAGUUUUGCUUGAGAGAAAGAAAAGCUUUAAGUUAGGGGUGUUGUUGAGUGGUGAAUUUACCACUCAUUUGCACUUAACAUUUAUGUGCUACCAUUUGAAUGUAUAAAUGAGACAAUAUUGAGAUUAUAUGCACUAAUUUUCACAUCUAGCAGGUUUACAGGUAAUGAAAUAGAAAGAUGUAGAUUUGAGCCAAAAGGAACUAAAAGGAGAAGAAAAGUGCACAGCUGAAGGACCAUAUGUAGAAUAAGGCUCAGUUACCGUGAUCAUAGGGAUAGAAACCACGAAUCCAUGGAUAUAACUGCAGUUAUGGUAGCUACGAUCGGCUAAAUCUGCUGCGAUGAAGGCAACAUUGGAUAAGGCCCAGGGGCAUUUUUGUAAUUUUCAACAGCCGACACCAAAUUCCUUAAAAGCCUAAAACCCUUUCCCAUUUUGGACAUUCAAGAGAUUAGCAAUAUUUUGAAUUUGAAAUUGAAACCUAAAUUAGGAAAUUUAUAAUUUUAUUUAGAGACUUUGAAUUUAGUGAUUUCUUGAAGAAUCGACGCUUUGCACAACCCUUAUGGUAUAUUUUUCUCUCCUUUCAUUUUGAGUAGCUAAAUUUAAUUGUCUUGGGAUUAUGUUGAGCUAAUGUGAAAUUAGUUGUGGGUUGUGUUGUAUUUUGGUGUAUGCUAGUUAGUUGAUGAUGGGUUUUACUAUUGCUUGAUUAAAUUGGUUUUGAUUUGUGGGGUAAAACCCCAAGUACUAAAAGUGGUUUUAUGGGUGAAAACCUCGAACUCUUAAAAGCUUAAACCAUCCUUGAAAGUGGGGUUUGGGUGAACUUUAGGAACCUACUUCAUCCUUGAAUGAGAGAUGGGGAAACCUAUGGAAUAGUAGACAAUUAUUGGGUGUAGUUUGCUAAAUUUUCACUAUCUUAGACAUAAGAGUUAUGAUAAAGUUGACUAUAUCUUAUGUAUUUUCCUAGAAAUAGGAAUAACCAAUUGAGGUAAUAGGUGAUUAUAAUUAACACACUUGUUAAGUGUACCAAAGGUUCAAUAAGUGAAAUUCUUGAGGUUUUGUUAACAAACUAGCCUCAAGGAUCCUAGACUUAGACUACCAUAUUAUUAAACAACUAGCAUGUGCAUCAAAUCUUCUUAUACCCACACCUAACUUGACCUUAGGUAGACAUAAUCCCAAGAUUCUCUCUAUAUUGAUGUUGAAUUACAAUUGUUGUGUAGUUCAUGGAAUGGAGUUACUAGUGACAAAUAUUCUCCCAAAACCAAACCCUCCAUUUUAUAUUAUGCUUUUUACUUUAUUUUCCCUUUGGGUUCUUUCUUAGUAAGUGUCAAGACCCAUAAGACUAGAAUCAUAAUUUCACUCCUUGUGGAUUCAACCUCAACAAAUGUUCAAAUAUUGACAACGACCGUCCUCUACCAGUUUACUUAUAAUUUAGUGUUAUCAAAAUUCGAUAUUUCUCAACUUACACAUUAAUUUAAGUGCAAAGUAAUCCACGAGGAACAAUUUGAAUAGCGAUCGAUUUUACCCCCCAUAUCUUAGUCGGGUUUUAAUCCACGAGGAACAAUUUGAAUAGCGAUCGAGUUAGUCCGAAAUCAAAGUUGCUUGGUAAAUUCAAGCCAAGGAUACUAAGAUAUGGGGGUUUGGAUGUUUAUAUAAAGUAUACAAAUUUUAGCGCUUCUAAAGACUAAAUUGAGGCUAAGAAUAAAUAAAGUAUAAUAAAUUGGGCAUGGAUCAUUGGAUUAUGCUUUCCUAGGGACAAGUUAUGCAUGGGAAUAUGAUGAUUUGGUGCAAAUUCUAAUUGUUGGUGAUGUGGUAGGCUAGGUUAAAAUCCUUGAGGCUAGUUUUCAACAAAGUCUCAAAAAUUUUACUGAGUGGCCCUUUUGAGUACCUAAUGAGUGUGUUAGUUAAACAACCCAACGCCUAAAUUAGACAUCCCUAUUUCUAGGAAGAUGACCAAAACAUAGCCUACUCUCUAUUCACCCUUAUUUCUAAGAUAGCAAGAACAUAGUAAACUACAUCUAUUAUUGUCCCUAUUGCUUUGUCCCCCAUAGCUCUCUUUCAAAGAUAUCAUGGGUUUGAAAAGUUCACCCACAUUCCUCUUUCAAGAAUGUUAUGAGAUUUCAAGAGUUUUGGGUUUUCACCCACAAACCCAUUUUGGAUAUUUGGGGUUUUCACCUACAAAUCCCAAUUAUUUAAACCAAGCAAUUGUGAAACCCAUUAUCAACAAACUAGAAUAUAGACAAAUACAUAACAACCAACAUAUAAUUGCACCUUAUUCUAACAUAAUCUUAAGAGGAAUAACUAGUAACUCAUAAAGAUAAUAAAUAAAAAUAUACCGAAAUCUCCAUUAAUUUGAUUCAUGAAAAAUAAAACUAAUGGCAACCACACUUUAAAUUCCCAUGAAUCUUCAAUGGGAUUUCCUAAUCCUUCACUUAGGAUUCACUCUAAUGUCUUCUUAUAUCAAGAUUAGUACAAGUUUAAGCUCCGACCAAAAUGAGCUAAAAACUCUUAUUUUAGCCCCAAUUCCACAAUUGCCAAAUAUUACAAAAAUGCCCUUAAAAAUUUUCCACUCUACUUCGAUCGCCACCUCUUUACCACAUUCACAAAUCACGUAAUCAUGGUAGUCAAACCGCAAUCGCUCUCCCAUUGAAUUAUUGACUGGUCGUGAUCGUGACCCUCAAGCCGCGAUCGUGGUAAUUAAGGGUCGAUUCUUAGGCUUGAUUUCUACAAUUUGGCUCUUUUCUUUCACAUUUAACCUCUUUUUGACUUGAAUGACUUGAUAAUCUUUGUUUUUCACCUUUUCCUAUACAAAUGUUCAUUACGUAAGAUAUUAACAUAAAAUCAAUGGAAAACCAUGAUAUUUUAGGCUUAAAAGGUGUUAGAAAAUCCCCAAAUUGACGACUUAUCACUGGUCAAGUAGAUUGAGACAUGAGAUUGAGAUUUAGGGAAAUUGGAGAUAGUAUACGAGUUUGUAACCACCCAUGGAUCGUAUUUUGGGAGCAUUGACGUUCGAUAGGUGUAUAUAGAAAGUCAUGCGAUAACUUUUCAUUAUUUACCUCAUCAUCCAUAGUACUGCAUUGUAUUUGGACAUCAUGUAUUGUUUUAAUAUAUUACUUGUCAUGUACUUAACUUCUAUAAUUGUAAGUGGAAAUGGUGUGAUCUACUAUUUAGGAACUUUUCUUUUGCAUGUUAUUUUCUCAUAGUAUAUUUUUUACAUGUUUUAUUUUCUACUGUGCUUAGUCUGCCCAUAAUACCUACUGAGUAUAAAUAGACUGUACUCACUCCUACAAUACCCUUUUGGUGCAGAUCCUAGUUUAAGUACCACAUGUGGUGGUUGAUCUUAUUGUAAAAAUUUUGGGUUUUCAAGGUACUAUUUUCUCCAGAUUUCGGUGUUUAUUUGGACCUCAUCUAUAUUUAUUUUUCUUCACGUAUGACUCAGAGACAGAUCGUGUAUUAUUAAAUAUUUAGAUGGUUGUUUAGAUGCUCUACAUUUAUGUCAUCAAAUUUUGGGAUUUAUGAUAUUUCUUUUGGAGUUUCUCUAUAAUUGUACUUGUAUUGGCCUGACUUAGCUUUAGAAGUCUCACUUAACAUGUUUUCACUUAAUGAUUUUGUUUAUUUUUUCCAUUUCGAGAUUACGGCUUACUUAUCAAGGCUGGGCCACAUUGAGUUCCAUCAUCAUCUAGGUUUUUGGGUCAUGAUACAACCCAACUAAUCGGACCAUGCAGGCACCUAGAUAAAAUUAGUUCGGAUGAUCUACAAAACAAAUAUUCGAAAAGUAUCCAUUGAAGAAAAUCUAUCUCCAAGAAAAUAGAUAUAAUUAAAGCAGAUGAAGAAAUAAAAGGUGCUAUUACAACUACAAUAUAAACAAGAGGUUAUUCCAAAAUUAAAUCAAGAUGAAUGCUUUGGUAUGGAAUAUAUGAUUGGUGGAAACACAGAAAGUAUUCACCAGAUUGAUAACUUUACAAAAAAGACAUCACUUUUAUUUUCCAGAACUGAUGGAUCCAUUUCAAGAAAAUCACAAUUACAGGAAUAUAAAAGAAGACUAGGGAUGCAGAAUGUAGUGUCUAAUACAUCAGUAAAAAUUUGGGCAUUUAUGGUUUCAAUUGUAAAUUUCAUGGUUCUCAUGAAUGAAGAGUAGUAGAUCAUCUUGAAGUUAGAAAAUUAAGAUGCAGGAGUGAUAGUAAUUGUCAUUUAAGUAUAUGCAAAAUGUAAACAAGCUAAAUGACUAUCACUAUGGGAAUCUUUAGGAGAGAUUUCACAAUCCAUUCAGGAACCUUGGUUAGUGGUAGGGGAUUUUAAUGUCAUCAUCAAUGAAAAAGAGAAUCUGGGGAGUUUGCCAAUUACUAUAUAUUAAAUAGUGGCUUUAGACACUGCAUAAAUCCAUGUAAUUUAGUAGAUGAUGCAUUCAAGGAAACUAAGUACACAUGGUAGAAUGGAAGAACAGAUGUUAAUUGUAUAUUCAAGAGAUUAGAUAGGGUUCAAUGCAAGUUUUUUUCCAAUAUUAAAGGUUGAGAAUUUGAUCAAAAAUGGUUAAGAUCAUACACCUCCAUUGCUUAACUUUAGUACUAUUAAUGAACAAAUUAUAAAAUCCUUCAAGUUUCUAAAUUUCAAGAUUAAGGAAGAAUCAUGUUUGGAAAUUAUAAGAUAGAACUAGAAAACUGAAGUGUAAACCAAACUUUAUUAUGUUCCAUCACAAGCUGAAAAGGACCAAAAUUGCUUUAAGUCAAUUGCUUAAAGAAAAUUUGGUAAUAUUUUUCAAGAAAUUACAACUUUGAAAGAGGUUAUUAAAGUUAUGGAGAAGCAGUUUGAGGAAGAUCCAUAAGGUGCAAAUAGAGAGAAAAUAUUUAAAGCUCAGAUUAAUAUAAAUUUAUUGAUCAGAAGGGAAGAAGUGUUUUAAAAGCAUAAAGCAUGUUUAGAGUAGUUUAAAUAUGGGGAAAUAAAUAAUAAAAGUUUUUCAUUCAAUUAUUAAAGGGAGAAGAAGAAGGUUGAAGGUGAAGAGAAUCCAAAAUGAAAAGGGUAUUUGGGUAGAAUAUAAAGUUGAGAUUUUUACAAAUGCUAUACAAUUCAUUCAAAAAUAGUUCUGUAAGGAAUAGGAGGGUGAAUAUUUCUUAAUGCUAGAGUAUUUGCAAAGAAUAGUAACUUUAGAGCAUAAUAAGAAGUUGAGUAAAAUCCCUGGCAUUUAGAAGAUUAAAAAAAUAGUUAUGGGGCUAUAUAAACACAGUAUUAGAGGGCCAUAUGGAAUGACAAGGGCUUUCUAGCAGGAGGCAUGAGAUACUAUAGGAGAUGAUGUGUACCAAAUAGUAGUAGCUUUCUUUUAUGGGUUUCACCUUAAAGAUUCAUCAUACAUACUAAUUUGGUUCUACUACAUAAAAUCUUAGUUGUGAACACUUUCUCUGACAUGAGAAAAAAUUUUGUAAGUAAUUUUGUCAAUAAGAUUUUCUCAAGACACGUUCAUGAUAGACUCAAGAAAUUGUUACAUGAGAUUAUUUUAGAAAAACAAAUUGGUUUUGUUUAAAGAACAAACAGUGCAGAGAACAUUCUUGUAGUCCAAGAAAUCGUCUCAUAGAUAAGAAAGAGAGGCAAACUCCCUAAUAUGGCCAUUAAUUUGGAUAUGAUGGAAACUUAUGACAAGGUGUAGUGGUUGUAUCUACCGAAGGUAUUGAGAAAAUUGGGUUUUAAUGAAACAAUCAAUAAUAUGGUGUACAGAUUAGUGGGAAACAAUUGUUAUUCAAUCCUACUGAAUAGGCAACCAGAAGGGUUUUUUAGAUCCUAUAGAGGAUUGAAACAUGUAGAUCCCUUAUCUUCUACCCUCUUUAUACUCACUGCAGAGGUAAUGUCUAGAAAAAGAGUUUAAGAUGUUUAGUAUGCCUAGGGGAAGCCCAAAAAUUAAACAUCUUGCAUUUGCAGAUGAGAAGAUCAUACUAUACAAGGAUAAACUAGGCACAGUAUAAAGAAUCAUAGCAACUUUAUAGAGAUAUGAACUUGUGUUAAGGCAUAAGAUCAAUAAGAAGAAGAAUGAGACAUACUUGCAUAAAUGUGUUUCCCUGGGGUAGUAGUGAUCAUUGAGGUUGCUACAUAUAUUUUAAGAUUUUCCUUUCACUUACUUAGGAUAUUCCACUUUUCACAUAGGGAAGAAGAAAAAUUAUUAUCAAAAUAUUAUGAAUAAAAUAAGCAGUAUACUUCAAGGAUGAAAAGAAAAGAUAUCAUAUAUAGAGAGAUAUACUUAUCAAACAUGUACUGUAAAGUAUACCCAAUCAUUGUCUAUCAGUGAUAAAUCCACCUGUUAAUGUGUUGACUACUAUUUAGCUAAUACUAGCUCAAGUUUUCUAGAACAGUCAUAUAGGAGCAAUAGGUAGAAAUGGUCAAGCUAGAAAAGCUUAUGUUUUCCAGAGAACGAAGGUGGGCCAUUGAUUUAUUUUGCAAACUGUAAUGGAAAUUUAUAACUAAGAAGUUGAUUUGGAGCACUUAUAUGCAUAGUAAGUACUGCAAAAAAGAGAAUCCUAAUAUAGUAAUAUGGAAAACUGGUUCAGGAUCAUAGGAGUGGAAGACGAUGUUAUUGUCCAGGGACCUAGUAGAACAACAAAUCUUAUGGCAAACAAGGAAAGGAAAUUCUAGUCUAUGGUUUGAUAAUUUGAUAGUUAUACGUGAUUUAUACAACAAUAUUUAGGUUAGCAAAGAUUGGGAUGACCAAUAUGAAUAUGUGAGAAAUUGGUUAUUAAAUAGGACUUGGAAUGAGCACCUGAUUAACGAAAUAUUUCCAGAAGAAGUUGUUAAACAUAUCCUGGGCAAAAUUAGAUCUCUAGUCUUAAUAGGACAGAGUGAUAGACUAGAUGGAUACUUGAGGCUAAUGGAAAUUUCACUGUGAGAUCAGUAUAGUAAUACAUUAGACAAAAGGGGCAAAGUAGUAGAACAUUUAAGGAGACUUGGAUAGAAAGGUUACCCUUUAAAAUGGCCUUAUUCAUGUGGAGGAUAUGGAAAAGAAAAGUACCUAUGGAUGAUAAUAUAAGAAAAUGGAGAUAUGAGGGGCCAUCCAGAUGCUGAUGUUGUGUGAAUAUAGCAUAAGAAACCAUACCAGAUGUGUUUCUAUGAUCAGACAUUGCUAUCAGGACAUAGACCUAUUUUUCUUCUUUUGCAAGUAUAAAUAUAAACAGUCUGAGCUUGAGGUAAACCAUUAUGGAAUAGUGGAAUGCAGAUGUUAGGCAGAGGCAAAAAGCUUAUUUUCAAGCUAUCCCUAGUAUGAUCUUUGUGGAACUAUAAAAGAGGAACAACCACAAAACAUAAAGGAAAGAGUAUCUUAUCACAGAGGGUUAUAUACAAUAUAACCAGGAAUCUUGGUAUUCUAUUGAAAGUUGGAAAACUAGCACAAGAAUUUCUAUAUGCAUGGCCAUAUAUUCUUAAGGAAUUUAAUAAAAAUAGGUCAAGAGUGAAGGUUAACUAAGUUACUUGGGAAUUCCCAUGAGAAGAUUGGAUAAAAUAUAACUUUGAUGAAGCUUCUAGGGGAAAUUCGGGAGUUAGCUUAUAUGUAUUUUGCCUAAGGAAUGAGAAAGGAGUCUAAUAUAUGCAGGAGGGGAUAGCAUAGAGAAUACAACAAAUGUAGAAGAAAAGGCAAUAGCUAUCUUUUUGGAAAACACACAUUGCAGUCACUCAUAGCAUAACAAAGUCAUCAUUCAGAUAUACUCUAUAACUUUGCAGAAAAAUUUAAUUAGAGAAUGGGCCUAUCCAUGGAUUAUAUAUGAUAUAGUAUAGUAGAUAUGGAAUUUAAUGGGAAAUAAACAAGUACAGUAACAAAACAGUCUCAGAGAAGGGAACCAAUUAGUUAAUCAUCUGGCUAAUUUUUUAAUUAAUAAGGGGAAUUUGGCAUUCACAGGCUUUCAGUGGCUAGAAUUUAGAUGUAGGAGGAUAAUUAAUAGUGACUAAUAACAAUGCCCAUACUUAAGUUUUUUACUAGAAAAAGGGUGAGGGGGAUAGAUAGGCUAAAGCUUAAUUUGUUCACAUGCAAAUAUAUACAAGCCAUGUAGGCAACAAAAAGAGUGAAACAACUAAUUAGCAUAUAGUACAAUAGCUAACAAAAAGGACUCCCAACAAAAAAGGAGGGUAACUUGUCAUAUUGAAAUUGAUAAACCUGAAGGUCAUAUUACUCUAAAUAUUUGUGGUUUCAAGCAUCUCAUUAUCUCUAUAACAGCCAUAUCUGAAAGAUGGGAAAGAUUAGAAAGACAAAUGGGUUCUUACUAAACAUCGACAGAGGGGAAAUUUCAUUCUGACUCUGAAGAAGUGAUAGUAUUCAGCUGACAGAAACCCUCAACACUGAAAAGAAGGAAGAUAUCGAUCCCAUCCACCGGAUAGCACAACUAAAUCAUAUUGUAAAGUAUGAAAAUAAGCUCAAAAUAAAGAUUUAAUCAAAGCAAAGAGAAAGUGAUCAAUACUUACUUUUGCAAGCAAAGAUAUUCAUGAAGAAGAAACAACUAGAGCACAGUGUUUUUCAUCCAGCACUAGAGCAAGAAGAAGCGUAGUUGAAUAGUGGAAACAUAGAUCAGAUGUUGUAGGGCUGAAGAUGAAAGGAAGAGUAGAUACUGAUUUUGGAAACCCUACUUUUACUCUUAUAUGUAAUAGAAUAGUGGGUUGGGUCUGGUCGAAUGUUAG